rnacentral:rRNA from 1 species
GAUGAACGCUGGCGGCGUGCCUAAUACAUGCCAGUCGAGCGAACAGACGAGGAGCUUGCUCCUCUGACGUUAGCGGCGGACGGGUGAGUAACACGUGGAUAACCUACCUAUAAGACUGGGAUAACUUCGGGAAACCGGAGCUAAUACCGGAUAAUAUAUUCAACCGCAUGGUUCAAUAGUGAAAGACGGUUUUGCUGUCACUUAUAGCUGGAUCCGCGCCGCAUUAGCUAGUUGGUAAGGUAACGGCUUACCAAGGCGACGAAGCGUAGCCGGCCUGAGAGGGUGAUCGGCCACACUGGAACUGAGACACGGUCCAGACUCCUACGGGAGGCAGCAGUAGGGAAUCUUCCGCAAUGGGCGAAAGCCUGACGGAGCAACGCCGCGUGAGUGAUGAAGGUCUUCGGAUCGUAAAACUCUGUUAUUAGGGAAGAACAAAUGUGUAAGUAACUAUGCACGUCUUGACGGUACCUAAUCAGAAAGCCACGGCUAACUACGUG